rnacentral:rRNA from 1 species
UACGAAGGGGGCUAGCGUUGCUCGGAAUUACUGGGCGUAAAGCGCACGUAGGCGGUCUUUUAAGUCGGGGGUGAAAUCCUGGAGCUCAACUCCAGAACUGCCUUCGAUACUGGAAGACUUGAGUCCGGGAGAGGUGAGUGGAACUGCGAGUGUAGAGGUGAAAUUCGUAGAUAUUCGCAAGAACACCAGUGGCGAAGGCGGCUCACUGGCCCGGUACUGACGCUGAGGGGCGAAAGCGUGGGGAGCAAACAGG